rnacentral:rRNA from 1 species
GAGGAAUAUUGGUCAAUGGGCGCAAGCCUGAACCAGCCAAGUAGCGUGCAGGAAGACGGCCCUAUGGGUUGUAAACUGCUUUUAUACGAGAAUAAUUUGAUGCACGUGUGCGUUAUUGCAUGUAUCGUAUGAAUAAGGACCGGCUAAUUCCGUGCCAGCAGCCGCGGUAAUACGGAAGGUCCAGGCGUUAUCCGGAUUUAUUGGGUUUAAAGGGAGUGUAGGCGGUUUGUUAAGCGUGUUGUGAAAUUUAGGUGCUCAACAUUUAACUUGCAGCGCGAACUGUCAGACUUGAGUACACGCAACGUAUGCGGAAUUCAUGGUGUAGUGGUGAAAUGCUUAGAUAUCAUGAAGAACUCCGAUUGCGAAGGCAGCAUACGGGAGUGUAACUGACGCUUAAGCUCGAAGGUGCGGGUAUCGAACAGGAUUAGAUACCCUGGUAGUCCGCACAGUAAACGAUGGAUGCCCGCUGUUAGCGCCUGGCGUUAGCGGCUAAGCGAAAGCAUUAAGCAUCCCACCUGGGGAGUACGCCGGCAACGGUG